rnacentral:rRNA from 1 species
GUGUGAUGACGAGGCACUACGGUGCUGAAGUGAUAAAUGCCCUGCUUCCAGGAAAAGCCUCUAAGCAUCAGGUAACACGAAAUCGUACCCCAAACCGACACAGGUGGUCAGGUAGAGAAUACCAAGGCGCUUGAGAGAACUCGGGUGAAGGAACUAGGCAAAAUGGUGCCGUAACUUCGGGAGAAGGCACGCUGAUAUGUAGGUGAAGCCCCUGCGGGCGGAGCUGAAAUCAGUCGAAGAUACCAGCUGGCUGCAACUGUUUAUUAAAAACACAGCACUGUGCAAACACGAAAGUGGACGUAUACGGUGUGACGCCUGCCCGGUGCCGGAAGGUUAAUUGAUGGGGUUAGCGGCAACGCGAAGCUCUUGAUCGAAGCCCCGGUAAACGGCGGCCGUAACUAUAACGGUCCUAAGGUAGCGAAAUUCCUUGUCGGGUAAGUUCCGACCUGCACGAAUGGCGUAAUGAUGGCCAGGCUGUCUCCACCCGAGACUCAGUGAAAUUGAACUCGCUGUGAAGAUGCAGUGUACCCGCGGCAAGACGGAAAGACCCCGUGAACCUUUACUAUAGCUUGACACUGAACACUGGUCCUUGAUGUGUAGGAUAGGUGGGAGGCUUUGAAGCGUGGACGCCAGUCUGCGUGGAGCCGCCCUUGAAAUACCACCCUUUAAUGGCUGGUGUUCUAACGUAGACCCGUGAUCCGGGUUGCGGACAGUGUCUGGUGGGUAGUUUGACUGGGGCGGUCUCCUCCCAAAGAGUAACGGAGGAGCACGAAGGUUGGCUAAUCCUGGUCGGACAUCAGGAGGUUAGUGCAAUGGCAUAAGCCAGCUUGACUGCGAGCGUGACGGCGCGAGCAGGUGCGAAAGCAGGUCAUAGUGAUCCGGUGGUUCUGAAUGGAAGGGCCAUCGCUCAACGGAUAAAAGGUACUCCGGGGAUAACAGGCUGAUACCGCCCAAGAGUUCAUAUCGACGGCGGUGUUUGGCACCUCGAUGUCGGCUCAUCACAUCCUGGGGCUGAAGUAGGUCCCAAGGGUAUGGCUGUUCGCCAUUUAAAGUGGUACGCGAGCUGGGUUUAGAACGUCGUGAGACAGUUCGGUCCCUAUCUGCCGUGGGCGCUGGAGAAUUGAGGGGGGCUGCUCCUAGUACGAGAGGACCGGAGUGGACGCAUCACUGGUGUUCGGGUUGUCAUGCCAAUGGCACUGCCCGGUAGCUAAAUGCGGAAGAGAUAAGUGCUGAAAGCAUCUAAGCACGAAACUUGCCCCGAGAUGAGUUCUCCCUGAGACUUUAAGUCUCCUGAAGGAACGUUGAAGACGACGACGUUGAUAGGUCGGGUGUGUAAGCGCAGCGAUGCGUUGAGCUAACCGAUACUAAUGAACCGUGAGGCUUAACCUU